CGCACAUUGCGCCCCUUGGUAUUCCGAGGGGCAUGCCUGUUCGAGCGUCAUAUUGACCAACUCCCGCUUCGGCGGGGUCUUGGGCUUCGCCUCUGGGCGGGCCUCAAAAUCAGUGGCGGUGCCUAUUUGGCCCUACGCGUAGUAAUACUCCUCGCGAUAGGGACCGGUAGUUGCUUGCCAGCAACCCCCAACUUUCUAAGGUUGACCUCGGAUCAGGUAGGGAUACCCGCUGAACUUAA
rnacentral:misc_RNA from 1 species